rnacentral:rRNA from 1 species
AUUGAACGCUGGCGGCAUGCCUUACACAUGCAAGUCGAACGGCAGCAUGGAGAGCUUGCUCUCUGAUGGCGAGUGGCGAACGGGUGAGUAAAGCAUCGGAACGUACCGUGUAGUGGGGGAUAACGUAGCGAAAGUUACGCUAAUACCGCAUACGCACUGAGGUGGAAAGCAGGGGAUCGUAAGACCUUGCGCUAUACGAGCGGUCGAUGUCAGAUUAGAUAGUUGGUAGGGUAAAGGCCUACCAAGGGGACGAUCUGUAGCGGGUCUGAGGGGAUGGUCCGCCACACUGGGACUGAGACACGGCCCAGACUCCUACGGGAGGCAGCAGUGGGGAAUUUUGGACAAUGGGGGCAACCCUGAUCCAGCCAUGCCGCGUGAGUGAAGAAGGCCUUCGGGUUGUAAAGCUCUUUCGGCCGGGAAGAAAUCGCACAGGCUAAUACCCUGUGUGGAUGACGGUACCGGCAUAAGAAGCACCGGCUAACUACGUGCCAGCCGCCGCGGUAA